GACGAACGCUGGCGGCGUGCUUAACACAUGCAAGUCGAGCGGAAAGGCCCUUUCGGGGGUACUCGAGCGGCGAACGGGUGAGUAACACGUGAGUAAUCUGCCCUUGGCUUUGGGAUAACCACCGGAAACGGUGGCUAAUACCGGAUACGACCACUCCCGGCAUCGGGUGGUGGUGGAAAGUUUUUUCGGCCAGGGAUGUGCUCGCGGCCUAUCAGCUUGUUGGUGGGGUAAUGGCCUACCAAGGCUUCGACGGGUAGCCGGCCUGAGAGGGUGACCGGCGACACUGAGAGUGAGACACGGCCCAGACUGACACGGGAGGCAGCAGUGGGGAAUAUUGGGGAAUGGGCGGAAGCCUGGUCAAGCAAUGCCGCGUGAGGGAUGACGGCCUUCGGGUUGUAAACCUCUUUCAGUACCGACGAAGCGCCGAUGAUGGUGGUGACGGUAGGUACAGAAGAAGCACCGGCCAAGUACGUGCCAGCCGCCGCUGUAAGAC
rnacentral:rRNA from 1 species